AUUGAACGCUGGCGGCAGGCCUAACACAUGCAAGUCGAGCGAGCGGCGGACGGGUGAGUAAUGUAUGGGGACUGCCCGAUAGAGGGGGCUAACUACUGGAAACGGUAGCUAAUACCGCAUACUAUCGGAUAACCCAUAUGGGAUUAGCUAGUAGGUGAGGUAAUGGCUCACUGAGGCGACGAUCCCUAGCUGGUCGGAGAGGAUGAUCAGCCAAAAUGGUACUGAGACACGGCCCAGAUUCCUACGGGGGCAUCAGGGGGGAAUAUUGCACAAUGGGCGCAAGCCUGAUACAGCCAUGCCGCGGGUAUGAAGAGGGCCUUAGGGUGGAAAAGUACUUUCAGUCGGGAGGCGUUACCGACAGAAGAAGCACCGGCUAACUCCGUGCCAGCAGCCGCGGUAAUAC
rnacentral:rRNA from 1 species